AGCCGAGCCUGGGAGGAAUUCGGAGUUGCUCCCUUUCACCCGCCUCGGCCUUUCACGCUCCUCCGGCCGCAGCGUGUGCGUGUGCCCCCAGCCGGGGGCAGGGCCGAGGAAUGCCCCGGGGGAGGCGAUAACGCGCCGCUGUUGUGUUUUCCUUCUUCGGACGGAAGUUAAAGGCAGGAGGCCCAGGAAGGCGAGAAGAGGUACAAGAAGCACUUCUCCCACUGCUGUAGCAGAACAGCUCAGCUCAGAUGCACUGGAGGUAAAACCUACAGGGAAGGUGGAACGCGUGUAGUUGAUGGCAGAGGAAGCUAUCAUUACAGGUCUCAAAUGCUUAGCUUGGUAUCUGCUGCACUGCGUUCAACGACAAGGCAGCUCCUUUUGAGUAACGACUUCAAGCAAUUCUUAAGGUAACCAGCAAAUUCUCUCCAAGGCAAGUAAGGCUUUUGUCUUGUCAUUUCUCGAUGCUCCCUUCCAACUCGAUUAAAUGGAGGGGAAGCACUUCACAGAAGGAAAAAUCCUUCCUAUCGCUAACGAGCGGCUAAAAUAGAAGUAACACUCCUGUUUCCAGAAGAGCGGUCCGCUUUCUCCGAGAGGUGACGGACAUGGAUAAGAAGAAAUCACCUCCCAGCCUCACAGAGGAGCCGCUGCCCUGAGUACCUGUGCGAGGA